GACGAACGCUGGCGGCGUGCUUAACACAUGCAAGUCGAACGGAAAGGCCCUGCUUUUGUGGGGUGCUCGAGUGGCGAACGGGUGAGUAACACGUGAGUAACCUGCCCUUGACUUUGGGAUAACUUCAGGAAACUGGGGCUAAUACCGGAUAGGAGCUCCUGCUGCAUGGUGGGGGUUGGAAAGUUUCGGCGGUUGGGGAUGGACUCGCGACUUAUCAGCUUGUUGGUGGGGUAGUGGCUUACCAAGGCUUUGACGGGUAGCCGGCCUGACAGGGUGACCGGCCACAUUGGGACUGAGAUACGGCCCAGACUCCUACGGGAGGCAGCAGUGGGGAAUAUUGCACAAUGGGCGGAAGCCUGAUGCAGCAACGCCGCGUGCGGGAUGACGGCCUUCGGGUUGUAAACCGCUUUCGCCUGUGACGAAGCGUGAGUGACGGUAAUGGGUAAAGAAGCACCGGCUAACUACGUG
rnacentral:rRNA from 1 species